GUGUUACGGUGUUAGGGGAGAGAUGGGUGAGGGGACCUGGAGAGGUAAGGGGCCUGGAAAUGUCCCUGAUGGAGAACUUGUGCUGACCAGGAGAAGGUGGCGCGGAAGGGCACCAGGCAUUCCACCGGCCAUUUCUCCUCCAUGUGCACGCACAUCCAACAUACACCUUCCACGUGACCGCUUCUCAGCUGCCACCUUCUGACCAAAGAGAACAGGCCCUCCAAGGAGAACCUGUACCCCUGCCCCAGCCUCACCUUCCUAGGAAGCAGUGUCUGGAGUCAGCCGUUUCCCGCCCCUCCAACUGCAUGUCCAGCCCAGUGGGAGGCAGGGCCUCUGGUGCAAUUCCCAAAGCAUUCCUUGCCCUUUCUCCAUGGUCACCAUUCAUAACUCAUGUUCGCAUUAAUGGGUUACACGCUUAUCAGCUACAGGCCAUUACCACCCUUACGGAUGAGUCUGGUGGGUGACAUUCCUGGCCAGUCCCUUGCUAGUAAGGAACAGGUAGUACCCAAGAAGCAAGUCGCUCUAGCUCUAGCCUCACAGGAAGCCUCUGUAUCCUCCUCCAUUUCAGCAGAGAAAACUCCUGUGAAAUGGGCCCUACCUUGGGCAUUGACAGGCUGCCAGCUGUGUUCCACCCCUGGAGGCUGACACCUUUCAAUAGAGACCUUUUAUGAGAGCUCAGUGAGAAGGUCUAUCAAGAAAUGCAGAUUCCCGUACAGACAAGUUCAUGCGAAUUUCUAUUAUUUUCACAAAACCCAGAAGCUAUGGGUAACCCAAAGACUUAAAGUCUAAAGAUGGUGGUGUUUUAAACAUGAGUAUUCCAAAAAAAAUCAUUUUUGGUUUGA